CGGUCCUAAGGUAGCGAAAUUCCUUGUCGGGUAAGUUCCGACCCGCACGAAAGGCGUAACGAUUUGGGCACUGUCUCAACGAGAGACUCGGUGAAAUCAUAGUACCUGUGAAGAUGCAGGUUACCCGCGACAGGACGGAAAGACCCCGUGGAGCUUUACUGUAGCCUGAUAUUGAAAUUCGGCACAGCUUGUACAGGAUAGGUAGGAGCCUUUGAAACGUGAGCGCUAGCUUACGUGGAGGCGCUGGUGGGAUACUACCCUAGCUGUGUUGGCUUUCUAACCCGCACCACUUAUCGUGGUGGGAGACAGUGUCAAGCGGGCAGUUUGACUGGGGCGGUCGCCUCCUAAAAGGUAACGGAGGCGCUCAAAGGUUCCCUCAGAAUGGUUGGAAAUCAUUCAUAGAGUGUAAAGGCAUAAGGGAGCUUGACUGCGAGACCUACAAGUCGAGCAGGGUCGAAAGACGGACUUAGUGAUCCGGUGGUUCCGCAUGGAAGGGCCAUCGCUCAACGGAUAAAAGCUACCCCGGGGAUAACAGGCUUAUCUCCCCCAAGAGUUCACAUCGACGGGGAGGUUUGGCACCUCGAUGUCGGCUCAUCGCAUCCUGGGGCUGUAGUCGGUCCCAAGGGUUGGGCUGUUCGCCCAUUAAAGCGGUACGCGAGCUGGGUUCAGAACGUCGUGAGACAGUUCGGUCCCUAUCCGUCGUGGGCGUAGGAAAUUUGAGAGGAGCUGUCCUUAGUACGAGAGGACCGGGAUGGACAUACCUCUGGUGUACCAGUUGUCGUGCCAACGGCAUAGCUGGGUAGCUAUGUGUGGACGGGAUAAGUGCUGAAAGCAUCUAAGCAUGAAGCCCCCCUCAAGAUGAGAUUUCCCAACUUCGGUUAUAAGAUCCCUCAAAGAUGAUGAGGUUAAUAGGUUCGAGGUGGAAGCAUGGUGACAUGUGGAGCUGACGAAUACUAAUCGAUCGAAGACUUAAUCAA
rnacentral:rRNA from 1 species